rnacentral:rRNA from 1 species
AUGGAGAGGCGUAGCGGCGUGAGCGUGAGCCUUGUUCUUGGCCUCCUGCUCGCCACCACCGUUGCUUGCCAUGGUGCGAGGGACAUCCCAGCAACUGAGCCCGAGUCCUACCGUCCCCAUAACGUCUUUGGGUUCGGUGGUUUCUACCCUGGCCCGUCCGUCAACUGGGUGUUUCCGGGGCCAAACGGCGUCACACCACAGGUAGGCUUCGGCGGGAUGCCGGGCUCUAGCUCCUUCCCUGGCACUAGUGGCUCGUCCGGCAGCAGUGGCGUGGUCGGCAUUCAUGGUGCUGCCAAUCCCUGA